rnacentral:rRNA from 1 species
CCUACGGCGAGCUGCAGUGGGGAAUAUUGCACAAUGGGGGGAACCCUGAUGCAGCAACGCCGCGUGGGUGAAGAAGUACUCCGGUAUGUAAAGCCCUGUCAGCAGGGAAGAAAAUGACGGUACCUGACCAAGAAUCCCCGGCUAACUACGUGCCAGCAGCCGCGGUAAUCAGUAGGGGGCAAGCGUUAUCCGGGUUGACUGGAUGGAAAGGGAGCGAAGACGGGAAGGUAAGUCUGGAGUGAAAGCCCGUGGCCCCACCACGUGACUGCUUUGGAAACUGUGUUGCUGGAGUGCAGGAGGGGUAAGCGGAAGUGCGAGUGUAGCGGUGAAAUGCGUAGAUAUUAGGAGGAACACCGGUGGCGAAGGCGGCUUACUGGACUGUAACUGACGUUGAGGCUCGAAGGCGUGGGGAGCAAACAGGAUUAGAUACCCCAGUAGUC